rnacentral:rRNA from 1 species
AGUGAACGCUGGCGGUAGGCCUAACACAUGCAAGUCGAACGGCAGCACAGUAAGAGCUUGCUCUUACGGGUGGCGAGUGGCGGACGGGUGAGGAAUACAUCGGAAUCUACUUUUUCGUGGGGGAUAACGUAGGGAAACUUACGCUAAUACCGCAUACGACCUACGGGUGAAAGCAGGGGAUCUUCGGACCUUGCGCGAUUGAAUGAGCCGAUGUCGGAUUAGCUAGUUGGCGGGGUAAAGGCCCACCAAGGCGACGAUCCGUAGCUGGUCUGAGAGGAUGAUCAGCCACACUGGAACUGAGACACGGUCCAGACUCCUACGGGAGGCAGCAGUGGGGAAUAUUGGACGAUGGGCGCAAGCCUGAUCCAGCCAUACCGCGUGGGUGAAGAAGGCCUUCGGGUUGUAAAGCCCUUUUGUUGGGAAAGAAAAGCAGCAGGUUAAUACCCCGCUGUUCUGGCGGUACCCAAAGAAUAAGCACCGGCUAACUUCGUG